GUGUUGGAGUUGGGUUUGU
rnacentral:miRNA from 1 species